CUGAGCCUGACGCCUGCGCGCACCAGCCACCAGACGAGAGAGGGAGCCGAGGACGAGCGUCAGGAAGGGGAUGAGGUGAGGGCGGUCGGGCUGGAGCAGAGAAGCAGGGAGGAGCUCGGAGCUGGCAGCCCAGAGCCAUGGGCGAGGAUCUCCAAUCACGGGCACGAAGAAGCGGCGCUUGAGGGAGGAGACCGGAGGGGAUGCGACCAGCGCGACGCCCACCAGAGGGACUUGCGCGCGCGGGAGCUCCGCGGCGCUGGAGCAGGGACACGCCGGGAAAGAGCGGCAGCAGGAGAGCGCGCGGUGGGAGGGAGCUCAGGGAAGAGAGGCGAACUGGAGAUGGAGGCCGAUCAGGAACGACUUCAGCAACUGGAGAUGGAGCACGAAGGAGUUUCUAUGCCUCGUACAUGCUCUUUGGCCUGA
rnacentral:misc_RNA from 1 species